CUAUAUAGAACUGAAAAGAAAGAAAACUUAAGUUAUUUCAAAUACAAUCUUGGUUUUGUUGAAUGCUACAUGGAUACUCAGAUAAAAUGCAGGCAACGUUUGUCUACCUUUGUGUCGUGUUGGGACUGCUAAACAGCGCGACCUGCCGGCGACGUGAUUACCUCCAAAACCUCGAAACCCCAUGCCCAUGGAAUGUGAGGACUCCGUCUGCUACAUCGGGCUCGGCUGUUCUGGAAGUUGCCAGUCUGUUUCGUGUAAACUUUACGGGUAAUCAGGAUAUAAAGUAAAUUAAAUGGAAAAUGUUGUUAAUUUUAAGUGUAAUGUUUUCAAACAUUAUUGUAUGUAAA